rnacentral:tRNA from 1 species
GGGUAGGUGGCCGAGUGGCUAAAGGCGGCAGACUGUAAAUCUGUUCCUUCGGGUUCGAUGGUUCGAAUCCAUCUCUCUCCACCA